UACGUAGGGAGCAAGCGUUGUCCGGAAUCAUUGGGCGUAAAGCGCGCGUAGGCGGCCUCAUAAGUCCGUUGUGAAAGUCAAAGGCUCAACCUUUGAAUGCCGAUGGAUACUGUGAGGCUAGAGUCCGGAAGAGGCGAGUGGAAUUCCUGGUGUAGCGGUGGAAUGCGCAGAUAUCAGGAGGAACACCAAUAGCGAAGGCAGCUCGCUGGGACGGUACUGACGCUAAGGCGCGAAAGCGUGGGGAGCGAACAGG
rnacentral:rRNA from 1 species